GGAUCUCUUGGUUCUGGCAUCGAUGAAGAACGCAGCGAAAUGCGAUAAGUAGUGUGAAUUGCAGAAUUCAGUGAAUCAUCGAAUCUUUGAACGCACAUUGCGCCCCUUGGUAUUCCAUGGGGCAUGCCUGUUCGAGCGUCAUUUCACCACUCAAGCCUCGCUUGGUAUUGGGCAACGCGGUCCGCCGCGUGCCUUAAAUCGACCGGCUGGGUCUUCUGUCCCCUAAGCGUUGUGGAAACUAUUCGCUAAAGGGUGUUCGGGAGGCUACGCCGUAAAACAACCCCAUUUCUAAGGUUGACCUCGGAUCAGGUAGGGAUACCCGCUGAACUUAAGCAUAUCACUAAGCGGAGGA
rnacentral:rRNA from 1 species